AGGAAUUGUUUGAUUGUUUCUUCUCUUCCCUUUCUCCGCGUAAUUCAGCCACUGAACUCGGUGGCGGCUCACUGAGUCUUCCUCGUCGGAAACGAGUCCACAGCCAUGGGAGAACCAGAACAUGAACAACAGCAUCAAAAUGAGCAGAAAGAGUUCGCUGACGGUGGAAAGAGAAAGCUGGACGCUUUCGAACUCGCCAAACAGAGAGCUCAAGAAAUUGCGUCUCGAAUUGCUAGUGACGCUGAUCCGAAACGCCCUCGAAUCGUCACUGAAAACUCGUCAGAGCCUUCAUUUUCCUCAAGUUCUGUGUCUGCCCCUCCCUCUUUCCCUGUUCCCUUUGCUGCCCAACCAAGUCUGUAUUCACAAGGCACAAGUAAGAAGAUUACAAUUCCUAAUGGCAAGGUUGGUGUGGUUAUAGGGAAAGGAGGAGAAACAAUAAAACAUAUUCAACUUCAGUCAGGGGCUAAAAUUCAGAUUACCAAGGACCAAGAUGCUAAUCCCCAUUCUCUAACAAGGGAUGUGGAGCUGAUGGGUACUUCAGAACAAAUUAGCAGGGCCGAAGAACUGAUCUGUGAUGUGAUUGCAGAGACAGAUACUGGGGGCUCUGCUUCAUCUGCUGUUCACGGAUUGAAUACGAAGCAAUCUGGAGCUGAGCAGUUUGCAAUGAAAGUCCCUAACGACAAGGUUGGAUUGCUCAUUGGCAAGGGCGGUGAAACCAUAAAGUACAUGCAAGGCAGAUCAGGGGCCCGUAUGCAGGUGUUUAGUUAAAAAAAAUGUAGAAAUAAACUGCAGUGUAUGAAAGAUUAUCCUGACAAAUCCUGGUGGCUCAUUUAAAAACACAUUUCACUCUCUAAAUACAUAGUUUGGCUGUAUUGAAGUUGUACUUGUGAGUCUUUAUGAGUUUUGCUCAUAUUGGUGCUGUUGUAAAUUAGAACAGAGUAGAUUGAUUGAUUCUAACUAGGAUAUGAAAGGUAGUAAUCUGAAGAAUAAUAUGGAUUUGCCUUAGACCGCAAUUAAAACCAUGCUUCAAUUGUAUUAUUAGGCUGGGACUUGUCCUUUAUAAGAUUUAGCAAAAAAACAUAGAUUUUAACAAUUUAUGGCGUGAUUUAUGGUAAAAUUCAACUGACAAUCAAUCAAUCCAUCAAGAAUGUGAGGGUGUUGGAUGGUGAAUGGUCACAUGAUACGGGUUGGUGUUUUUGCCUAGCACUCUCUCCCCUUUGAUUUUGGUGACACUUUCUGUAUGAUUAUGGAGAUAAAAGGUAGUUGAUGGUAGUUUUUUUGUUUUAAUAGUUUUGGUUGAAUUAUUCUUUAUUUUUUUUUAUUCUAUUGAAAAAUGUAAAUUAACCAUGAUUCUUAGGUAGUCAAUAUUAUGAUGUCAUUCUACACAGCGGGCAUCACUUCCCCUCCCAUUCUAAUCUCAAUAUUUACAUAAUUAUAAUAUUUUCACUAAUUGGUUAAUACUGUCAAGCUUUGGUCCUUAUAGUCCAUUUUGUUCUACUUUUGGUGUCAAACACAUGAACAAGGUAGGCGUAUGAAUUUUGCCCCUUUUAAUGCCAUUAGUAUCUGUCCAAUUUCUCAUGACAUGAUUGAUGGAAUCUCACUCACAAUUUUGAGCUUCUUUCCAUGUGUUUCGAAUGCAAGUUGUUAAGCACUUGUUCCUUUGUUCAGAUUAUUCCCCUCCACCUUCCUCCUGGUGACACAUCAGCAGAGAGAACAGUAUAUAUAAAUGGUUCAACAGAACAGAUUGAGACAGCCAAAGAAUUAGUUAAUGAUGUAAUCAGUGGGAAACGUAUUAUAAGCCCAUCUGAAUCCAAUAGCUAUGCACAGCCAGUUUAUCCUGCUGCUAGUAACUGGGUCCAGCCAGGACAACCUACUAUGCAACAACAGCCCCAAUAUGGGUACGCUCAACAAGGAAAUCAACCUACGUCCUCUUCUUACUAUGGCAACUACACCCAGCAACCAUCUUGGGAUCAGUUGAACCCAUCAACCAUGUCUCAAACACCUCAGCAAACGACUGGAUAUGGUUACUAUGGACAACCUCAAAUGGGAUCAGAUCCUCUUAAUCCUAGCUAUAGCUACAAUCAGACACCUCCUGUUGCCAGCAAAACUUAUGAUCAUAGCUACAGUCAGCAGACAAUAAGCUAUGGACAAAACAUUCCUACUCCAACACAAGAACAACAGACGACAUAUGGAAAUUCAAGUUAUGGGUAUGCUACUGUAUCAUCUCAACCAGAUGGGGCAGUUUCCUCCCAAUCAACUCGAGUGGCACCACCUGCAUAUCCACCUACUGCUUAUAGUCAAUCAGUGGCCAAUCCUCAAACAUACUGGAAUUCUUCAAGCUACACUGGACAGCAACCACAAACGGUGUAUGAUCAAACAGGGUACUCCCAAACUUAUGGAGGGCAAACUGCUUAUGGAGGGAUGCAACCAGGCCAAGUCCCUCCCCCAUCAACUUGGCCAAUUUAUGGACAAGGCGGAUAUCCUCUUCCGGAAUCUGCUGCAGCAGCAAAUUAUGUUCAGGAGACACAACCCCAGUCACAGCCAUCAAACAAUGGUCAUUCGCAGGCAUUGGCUUAUGGAGCUGAAACUCAUGAUGGGAACUCAAAAACUGCUGUGCAGGAAGCUGUUCCUUCGCAAAGCUGAAUUUCUAGCUGUUCAAAGGCGAAGUGAGCCUUUUAUGUGCUUCAGUUGGCGUUGGAUCCCCAGCGGGAAUGGAUGGCCAGCUCAGUAGCGUCUUGCUAAUGUAGUUGGCGCUUUGGUGACGGUAUUGCCUGUAGUCCAGGACGGGUUCAUGGAUUUGGAUCCCCAACCCGCCUCAGAUGGGUUAUUGCUUUUUGGUCCUUCGAUCUUGCGUGUUGAGCUGGGGCGGGUGUGUGAAUGGUUAAUCUGGCCAUGGGUCUUGGGCUAAGACUUGUUAUUGUCAUCUUUGUAUUGAAGGGCUCUUUUUUGUAAUGGGCUACAAGCCCUUUUAUUAUAAUGAAACUCAGGCAAAAGCUUUUGCUGAAAUUAAAGUUUCUCUAUCCAGAUGUCUCAAGCGAAGGGAACAAUUUUUGCUGAUUUUAUCGCCAUCCUAGGAGCUAGGCAACCGCAGAGUUUGGUCCUUUCACAAUUGGUAGUCCCCUUCAGAUGGGCCGUAUGGUUUCUUUCCCUCUUUUUCUUUUGCUUGGGGCUCUUCUGAUCUUUCUUUGCGUUCCGAAACACCAGAUGAAUAAAUAAACGGCAGUUGCUGUCUAUGAACAGAUAUGAGUAUGGAUGCUUAACCAGGUUGUGAGAUUGCCUUCAGAAAACGCUUUAAUCGACUUGGCAAAUUCAAUGGCAAAUUGAAGGUUAAGAACUUGCACCGUUGAACCACUGCAGAACAAAUUCUGUGGAAAAAACCAACCGAGAGUGUGGCUGUGAGAAUCUGACGGAACCCAUUUUAAUAAAAAUAAUGUGUCAUCAAAACAGACAAGGUGGAUCCGUGGCGCAAUGGUAGCGCGUCUGACUUCAGAUUCAAUGUAUCCUUUUUUGUAAUUUACGGACUCCUAAAUUUUAAUAAAAAUAAUAAAUUAAUCUCUAUUUUUUGAUAAUGA
rnacentral:misc_RNA from 1 species